UCCUGAGGGGGCCUUGCCACACUGUGACUGCCCACCCCUCCCCACGCACACCUGGAUUUCUAGCCCACCAGGAUCGUAGGCCCUGAUCAAGGCCUUCCUGCUGCCGUCCACCCCCAGUCUCAGCUGGCCCAGCUCUCACGGACACCAGGAUGCUCACGGAGGAGCCGAGACAACCCCCCACCACCACCUCAGCCCCUUUCCAUGUCACCAAUAUUGUGCCAUGACCUGGCCCCAGCGGGGACUUCCAAUCUGCAAAUUCACAGAAUGCAUGUUAUAAUCAUUGAACGGAAACAAACCUUGGAGCAAGAAUGUGACACCAAUAUAAAUCAAAGCAAAUGAUCAGGGAAUAUGUUCCAUCGGUCGUCCUGGCACCUCGUGCAGAUAUACAUCACCCUGGAAGCUGCUGAGCACUGGGUCACUGAAUAACUAUGGCUGCUGCAGCGCAUCGUUUAGUCUGUAUGGCUUAUGAAUAUCCAUUGCCUUUAAAGCAUUUUCAAGGCAAAU